AGUGAACGCUGGCGGUAGGCCUAACACAUGCAAGUCGAACGGCAGCACAGUAAGAGCUUGCUCUUACGGGUGGCGAGUGGCGGACGGGUGAGGAAUACAUCGGAAUCUACUUUUUCGUGGGAGAUAACGUAGGGAAACUUACGCUAAUACCGCAUACGACCUACGGGUGAAAGCAGGGGAUCUUCGGACCUUGCGCGAUUGAAUGAGCCGAUGUCGGAUUAGCUAGUUGGCGGGGUAAAGGCCCACCAAGGCGACGAUCCGUAGCUGGUCUGAGAGGAUGAUCAGCCACACUGGAACUGAGACACGGUCCAGACUCCUACGGGAGGCAGCAGUGGGGAAUAUUGGACAAUGGGCGCAAGCCUGAUCCAGCCAUACCGCGUGGGUGAAGAAGGCCUUCGGGUUGUAAAGCCCUUUUGUUGGGAAAGAAAAGCAGCAGGUUAAUACCCCGCUGUUCUGACGGUACCCAAAGAAGAAGCACCGGCUAACUUCGU
rnacentral:rRNA from 1 species